GUGGGGAAUAUUGCGCAAUGGGCGAAAGCCUGACGCAGCGACGCCGCGUGGGGGAUGACGGCCUUCGGGUUGUAAACCUCUUUCAGCAGGGACGAAGCGAAAGUGACGGUACCUGCAGAAGAAGCACCGGCCAACUACGUGCCAGCAGCCGCGGUAAUACGUAGGGUGCAAGCGUUGUCCGGAAUUAUUGGGCGUAAAGAGCUCGUAGGCGGUUCGUCGCGUCGGCUGUGAAAACCUGAGGCUCAACCUCAGGCCUGCAGUCGAUACGGGCGGACUUGAGUACUGCAGGGGAGACUGGAAUUCCUGGUGUAGCGGUGAAAUGCGCAGAUAUCAGGAGGAACACCGGUGGCGAAGGCGGGUCUCUGGGCAGUAACUGACGCUGAGGAGCGAAAGCGUGGGGAGCGAACAGGAUUAGAAACCCCAGUAGUCC
rnacentral:rRNA from 1 species